GCUAUACAAACCUACACAAAACAAUGGAAAUCUGCCUUACCUGUGGGCUGAUAUUUGUGCCAAUGGAACAUGAAUAUGAAUAGUGUAUAUUUCAAUCUGCAGUUGUUGCAUUAAAAAAACUGAAUCUAAAUUUAUUAGUUUGAAUCUGAAUUCCGGGGGCAUCAUGGUGGUGCAGUGGUUAGCACUGGUGCCUCACACCUCUGGGACCCAGGUUCGAGACUCUGCCUGGGUCACAUGUGCGUGGAGUUUGCAUGUUCUCCUCAUGUCAUCGUGGGGUUACCUCUGGGUACUCAGGUUUCCCCCCACAGACCAAUAACAUGCUGAGGCUAAUUGGUGUUGCUAAAUUGCCCGUAGGUGUGCAUGUGUGAGUGAAUGGUGUGUGAGUGUGCCCUGCGAUGGGCUGGCCCCCCAUCCUGGGUUGUUCCCUGCCUCGUGCCCAUUGCUUCCGGGAUAGGAUCCAGACCCGCCGCGACCCAGUAGGAUACGCGGUUUGGAAAAUGGAUGGAUGGAAUAUAAAUGGUAGUAGAGAACUAAAACAACUGUGUUCAUGUAAUUAUUGAGGUGAAGAAUCUUUAAAGUUACCUCCCGCACCUUAUUCAAAAUAAUGAAAGUCCUAGGUAGCAUCCAAGUGGAUUCAACAUCGAACAGAUUAUUCCAGUAAAAUACUGCAGCUGGCUUGGAGACAAUAUUCCUCUGAAUUAUGUGUAAUGCGUUUGUUGGUCGCUUCUUUGCUCAGAAGAGGACACAUGUUGCCUAUAAACAGAUCCUCAGGAGCCAGGUGAGGGAGAGUGCAGUUUCUGCCCUUUACAGCCGAUGAUAGCAGGAGGACUGCCCCACUAUGUAUCGCGUCAAAAACCAUACAAUAUUCUUUAGUAGAAACGGGAAUAUACUCGGAGAAAAACCUCUCAUUUGUAAACAACAAACGAUCUUCAUUCAAUUAUCGACUAAAAUGAAAGCAUUAUCAAUCCAUCAUUCAAUAUAAAGUGUUUCGCGUUCAUAAGUUAUGUCUUGAUUACUCUGGCGGAGUUACUUAUUUCUGACAGCCAGGGCAGGAUCAGCCAGCGGCGGCUUCGCGCAUGCGCGGUUCAUUUGCAGUCUGAACGCGGAGGGAUGAACAUUUCCCGCUCUGACUGCAGUUAGGCGGGGCUGCUGCGCAAGAGCCGGCCGCCCGUGAGCGCUUUGGGACGUGAGGGGAGCUCGCGGCAGUGCCCGCUGCUCGGUGAGAAGAGAAAGAAGGAUACGUGCUUUCACGUCAGAGUCUCCAGUAAUACCAGAAAAAAGUCGCUAGAUUUGUCGCUAGUCGUUUUUUUGAAAACGAGUCGUUAGAGGGGUGUAAAAAGUCGCUAAGUUGGCAACACUGGUGAGAACUGCGGCGGUGGGGGUGUUGGGAACAACAGAAGCGCCUCAACAGCAGUGUCGGUACUGCUCGCGCUACCCCGCCACUCUCGCGUGACGGGUGUGUCUGAGUAGCAGAGAAGUAGCGGCACGUUAAAGAUUAAAAUACAGCAGUGCCGGUGUUCCGCUUAAUUCUUAUUACGUAUAUGAAGGAUAAGCGGUUAUGACACGCCGGCACACGCGUCCACUUUACCCCGACUUGCAGAACUGUCGUAAACGUGGAAAUGAGUUGCGUUGUGACCCUGCGGUCGAUUACUUUUCCUCAAGGACCCAGAUUGUGCGUCUCGAUAAUUUGAAAUUGAAUUUGCGAGCUGAAAUUGAAUUGGGAGAAGUGAAUUUGUAAGUAUAGACCGUCAUAUUUUCCAGGUAGGAUUAAUACAGUUUCAUUUUCAAGCCACUGGAAUUCAAAUUCAAACUAAUAAUUUCAGACUCAGUUUUUUAACGCAACAACUGCAGAUUCAAAUAUAAACUAUUUAUAUUCAUGUUCUAGUGGCACAAAUAUCCGCCCAUUCUUACACCUUAAGCCCUUUACACGGCUUUGCAAAUGACCGAAAUUAACCUUGAGCCUUUGGCGCGCUCAUUACAUUAAUUUAAAAGAAACACAAGUCCAUGCGAAUUUACUCGCGACAUUAGCCAACAACAUACUGAAGUACAAAUGAAAUAUUAACAUAAAAUAACAGUAAAUAUAACUGUUUGCUUGUACAUCUUGUUUACUUUACCAAUUACUGUUAAUCACGAAAUGUAUAGUGCAUAUUAAUUCGCUAGGCUGGCGUGAACCUCAUAGUUAGCAUUUACACGGAUAAAUACAAGUUAAACAAAACUAUACUAAAGUUAAUAAAAUGCACAUACCUUGUUCGCUUCUAACGGAAGGGAUUCGAUCUUUAUCUAAAAACCUCCUAUGCCUUUGUCCUUAGAUGAAAAGCACACAAAGCUGGAUCCGUUAGCAAACCGAACUGUACAUGGGAAAAACGCGCUUCCUUCUAACGUAACUCAAAAGUGGCGCGCGUCAGAACGACAGUUCCGCGCUACUACUUAGUUUCGUUUAAUUAUACUAAUCCUAUAACACGUAAAAGUAAAGCAACACACACAUACAAAAAAUAUACUGACAGGUUAAUGUCAGUUAUACUAGGUUGUAGGUCAAGCGAAUGCAGAAAAUGCGUCGAUGGGUGGACAUGAAACGUUUAGGGGGGGCCUCAACCCGUGAUUUCAGGAUCCCAUUAAGGUUUGACAUUCAUCCAACCAGGCACACUGAUCAGAGCACACAAUACAAACUCAGUGUUUUUCUGUGAUUUACUGUAAAAAAACGUCAAAUGAAGUGAGGAAAGUUUAGUCGUCCCUAAAGUGGCAAAUUUUACGUUUUUCAGUUUGGUCAUUCUUCAGUUGGCUGUGAUAAAUGUGAAUAUUCUGGGAGCGCAAAAGGAUCGCAGUACCUCAGAUAUCUGUGUUAUUUAUAAUUUGUUAGUGUAAGUACAUAGUAUAUCUUUCAUAUAAAAGUAAUUUUUGAUAAAAAAUGAAAAAUAGGCACACAGGGGAAACUCGCCUGCAGUGAGACUGAGAGAAGGCGACACACAUACAGGACACUGCAGAUCCACCAGGGGGCGCGACACAAAAGAUAAAUCCAUUAUGGUGUUUCAAGGCUGGGCUCUUCCUCUGUGUCAAGCAUUCACAUGCAGGUCAGACACUCCUGUGUUUCUGAGGACUCGUGUCUCAUUUUUAUUUGAUGAAGGUUCUAGAGCCAUUCUAUGGCCAUCUGAUAGCAUAUAAUAUAUGAGCACCAUGCCUUCACCCAGCUGUGUGUAAGUUUUUAGAUACAUUUUACAAUUAGAAGACAACAGUGUUAUUUGCUAUAAAACUUUUAUUUAAGAGUGCGCCCACUCUAUUAACAAUCCUUGAAGAGGUCAUCCAGGAUCUGCUGCAGGAUUAACUCUUCGGGGUCAAAUCCAUGUGCUGAGUUCUGCUGCAGAUGGAUCUGGGGCUCCACCAUGAUUUCCUUGGUCCCUUUGACUUGGGAGACAGGUACUUUUCUAGAGAAUUGGGAAACAUUCAGUGCAGUCUCGGGUGUUUGGCUUUGCCAGGAAGUUUCCCGAGUUCUCAUGCUCGAGUUCUGGAUCAGGUCCAGGUCCCAUCGUUCACACAAAUCUAGGGGGCAGUUUGUUGGUAUCAGAGAGACUGCUGGUUCAUCAGGCUGGAGGAUGCUAUUUAGGAAUUCCAGGUCUUCCAGGCUCCAGUUGUCAUCUGUAAGGGAGGCAAGAGCACUCCAUCCGUGCUGCUCUGUUGAGCUUGCUGGCAUAGGAUGGUUCUGGAAGUCAGCCGGUGUGGUGGCUUUGGUGACUCCAGCCAUCUGCCUGCUUUUCUUGGUAGCCCUUUCCACCUCCUCAACUCCACCCUGACCGCCAUUUUCCUCUCUGCCCUGAUUCCGGACCUCUGCAUCUCUGCACCACUUCCUUUUUACUUCACAUCUUGUGCGGGUUGACGUAUCAGAGGAAUUUUCAGGACUAUCUAAAUCACUGUUGAUGGACCAGUAUUGCGCAGUCCCAUAUGUGACAUCCAUCAGCCUUUUGAAUUUUGAACUGAAGGAGUUUUUACACCUCUGGCAAUGCCAUUUGCCCUUCUUGGGUGGUUCCGUCACCAAAGGGUUGCUGCUUAGUAGCAGAAGUGAAAGAGGAGCCUCGUUCCCUUGGUGGGGCCAAACGCUCCACACUGGAGUAGGUGUGGCCAUUCACAGUUCCACAGGUCCAUGGACAGUUGACAUGCUUGGCCCAGGGGCGGCCAGCAUUCCCUCAGCAGUAUAUAUGCUGGGACCAUCAAGGUAGUGGACGAACAUGGCUGCCCUGUCCACUCCUUCAAGUACUGUAUAAAAAACAUACAAGAGUUGUUCUUAGCACAUUUGUGAAUGACAAAAUUUGUGAGUACCUGUUUGUACACCUGUUUGUACACCUGUGUGUGUGAGCGCGCUGGUGUUGAUAAGGUUUCUCCAUGUAAAUGUCUAGUAGUGUGUGUGGGAAACCACAGCCCUGUCCCCCAGGACAUAAAACGGGCAUGGGGGAGAUCCGGAAAAGGGCAGAGGAGAGCUCCGGAAGGAGGCCAUCCGGCAGCCACAAUGCAGGAGCCCCAGGGGGCCGUGGUGGCAAGCCCACAGGCUCCGCUGGCGGCCGGCCACACCAGGGCAGACCGGGCCCAGGGUUCCAAGGGCCCCCCAACCCUCCAGCAGGGGCCCGACAGAGCCGGGCCCGGCCAAACAACCGUCGAGAGUGAGCCAGUACCUACCCGAGCAUCCAGCCCCGAACAUCGAGAACCACCAACGCACCAGCGGCCGGGGGCCUCAUCCACCGGCAGAGAGUGUGGCGGGGGGAAUAGAGCCCGAGAUGUUAUUUCAGAUCCAGGCACCGCUACCCCCAGACGGGCAAUCCGCCAUCAGACCUCGGAGAUGGACCCCUUUUCUCCUCUGGCGUGGAGACAAGAAGACCACCCCGGACCCCGCAGCAGCCGAGAAGCCCACCAGCCCAGAGCCCGACCGGACGGCCAGCUGUUCCUCUCAGCCUCCAGCUUCAGAUGGUGAACAGAGAACGGAGGUGUUAAAAGACCCUAUGCCUCCCUUCACCCGCUCAGAUGUGCUGUUGGUGCGUGUUGUUGUAAAGUGUUUUUAAAACAGGGGAAGGGCACUGUGCCAACCACCCUCUACCUAACAACAGCUGCUGUUAGCUAGGCCCCUCCCCAGAACCCUCAAUGUCUAUGUGCGACUUAAAAUUGAGAAGUGGGCACUGGCACCAGAGGUAAGGCUGAAUGGACAGACCCCCCUCUAGAGCCAGCUCCCCCGCUGAGCCCCAUAGGCACCCCCAUUCCCUGAAAUCCACCCAGGGUGGGGGGCCCAGGCCCAUCCAGACCGGGGCCCACGGCAGCGGCACCACCCGGCCCCCUGGGUCCCCUGAGGCCUGGCCCCAGUGCAUGCACCAACCCAGACCACGGCAACACACCCACCAGGACCCGAGCCCCCCCGGCCCAGCUGGAACCUCAGCCCGGAGGCGGAGCGCCCCCAGGGCCCCAAGGCCGCCCCGGAUGUAUUCAGGAGCAGCACGGCCACCAGGCCGGUAACCUACGUCUGCCGGCACAGGCUCCCCCAGCAGCGCCGCACGCAGCUGCCAAAUAGACACCACCCAAGAGCCACCACAACCCCAUCCAGGCCUGGACCACAGUCCCAGCGCCCAACCCCCCCAGAAACCCAAUCGCCGACGCCCUGAACCCCCCCCCCCCACACGUCAACGACAAUGACUAAAGCGGGACAAAACUGUGACCCCCACUAGGUGAUGGAGCUGAUCAAAGGAGCCCAGAGAGUUUUAUCUAAUGUUGUGCCAGAAGCUGUAUCAAGACUAAUAUUGUCCAACAAAUUGUCUCUAUAUUGGUUGAUAUUAAGAUUAUUCUUAUUUUUCCAGUUCAUGAGGACAGUCGUCUUAGCAAUGCUAACAGCGGUGAAAGUCAUGUGGAUUGUGUUAAUCUCUGUAGUGACACCAUCUAGGUCGCCCAACAAGCAGACUGAGGGAGAAGCUGGAAUGGUACAUUUCAGACACUUUGAUAAAUCCUCACAAAUCCUGCUCCAGAACCUCUGAGCAGGUGGACAGAACCAAAAAGCAUGGAUGUAGCUGUGUGGUGUGUCGCCUUGACAGUGUGAGCAGUUGUUAGAAGACGUAAAAUCCACCCUGAACAUCCGAUGCCCUGUAUAGUGCACUCUGUGCAGGAUUUUGUAUUGUAUUAAUUGUAAACUGGGAUUUCUAAUUAGUUUAAAGGUUUUUAAACAUGUCUUAGAACUGAAAUUGUGGUCCCAGCUGACUAAUAGAUCUGCCUCCCAUUUUGCAAUAGGAAGGGAUAUUGAUUCAUCCUUUUUGGAAAGUGUCCUGUAUAUUUUAGACAGUAAUUUGGGGGUUUUGAAAUUAAGGAAUUCUGCCACACUUGGUGAUAUUUGUAAUUUGAUUUGAUUAGACUUUAGUCUGCUUUUUACUAUAGAUUUAACUUGUUGAUAUUCUAAAAAUGUAUUCUUGUUAAUCCCAUAUCAUUAACUAAUGUGUCAAAGGGAAUAAAGUCUAUUCCUUCGAA